GACGAACGCUGGCGGCGUGCCUAAUACAUGCAAGUAGAACGCUGAAGCUUGGUGCUUGCACCGAGCGGAUGAGUUGCGAACGGGUGAGUAACGCGUAGGUAACCUGCCUGGUAGCGGGGGAUAACUAUUGGAAACGAUAGCUAAUACCGCAUAACAGUAGAUAUCGCAUGAUAGCUACUUGAAAGGUGCAAAUGCACCACUACCAGAUGGACCUGCGUUGUAUUAGCUAGUUGGUGAGGUAACGGCUCACCAAGGCAACGAUACAUAGCCGACCUGAGAGGGUGAUCGGCCACACUGGGACUGAGACACGGCCCAGACUCCUACGGGAGGCAGCAGUAGGGAAUCUUCGGCAAUGGACGGAAGUCUGACCGAGCAACGCCGCGGGAGUGAAGAAGGGUGUCGGAUCGUAAAGCUCUGUUGUAAGAGAAGAACGAGUGUGAGAGUGGAAAGUUCACACUGUGACGGUAUCUUACCAGAAAGGGACGGCUAACUACGUG
rnacentral:rRNA from 1 species